rnacentral:rRNA from 1 species
UACGAAGGGGGCUAGCGUUGCUCGGACUCACUGGGCGUAACGCGCACGUAGGCGGCUUCUUAAGUCAGGGGUGAAAUCCUGGAGCUCAACUCCAGAACUGCCUUUGAUACUGAGAAGCUUGAGUUCGGGAGAGGUGAGUGGAACUGCGAGUGUAGAGGUGAAAUUCGUAGAUAUUCGCAAGAACACCAGUGGCGAAGGCGGCUCACUGGCCCGAUACUGACGCUGAGGUGCGAAAGCGUGGGGAGCAAACAGG